GUCGGGAAUUUUGCACAAUGGGCGAAAGCCUGAUGCAGCAACGCCGCGUGAGGGAUGAAGGCCUUCGGGUUGUAAACCUCUUUUAUCAGGGACGAUGAUGACGGUACCUGAUGAAUAAGCCACGGCUAACUACGUGCCAGCAGCCGCGGUAAUACGUAGGUGGCAAGCGUUGUCCGGAUUUACUGGGCGUAAAGAGCGCGCAGGCGGUGCGAUCAGUCGAAUGUGAAAGCCCCCGGCUCAACUGGGGAGGGUCAUUCGAUACUGUCGGACUCGAAGGCAGGAGAGGGAAGCGGAAUUCCCGGUGUAGUGGUGAAAUGCGUAGAUAUCGGGAGGAACACCAGUGGCGAAGGCGGCUUCCUGGCCUGUUCUUGACGCUGAGGCGCGAAAGCUAGGGGAGCAAACGGGAUUAGAAACCCUUGUAGUCC
rnacentral:rRNA from 1 species